rfam:Lachnobacterium bovis strain S1b genome assembly, contig: IE07DRAFT_scaffold00033.33
CCGAGCAGCCGGGGUGUUAGCGGUACCUUGAACCAACAAUCCGCUAUAGUUGGGGUGAUGCUUCACAGAGGGUUUUGUAUGUUAGAGACGCCCUCUAUAAGUGGCGAUGAAGCUUGGGUCUUACGCAAUAGAAAUCCAUGAACCUGGUCAGGGCAGGAAUGCAGCAGCCAUAAGUGGAACCUUUUAUGUGUCGUGAGGGUGCCUGGGCAGAGCUAACUGUAGAGGUAACGUUCUGGUGUGCAGAUUCGAAGUGAAGCGCUCGU